rnacentral:rRNA from 1 species
CCUACGGGUUGCACCAGUGGGGAAUAUUGCACAAUGGGCGCAAGCCUGAUGCAGCCAUGCCGCGUGUAUGAAGAAGGCCUUCGGGUUGUAAAGUACUUUCAGCGGGGAGGAAGGUGUUGUGGUUAAUAACCGCAGCAAUUGACGUUACCCGCAGAAGAAGCACCGGCUAACUCCGUGCCAGCAGCCGCGGUAAUACGGAGGGUGCAAGCGUUAAUCGGAAUUACUGGGCGUAAAGCGCACGCAGGCGGUCUGUCAAGUCGGAUGUGAAAUCCCCGGGCUCAACCUGGGAACUGCAUUCGAAACUGGCAGGCUAGAGUCAUGUAGAGGGGGGUAGAAUUCCAGGUGUAGCGGUGAGAUGUGUAGAGAUCUGGAGGAAUACCGGUGGCGAAGGCGGCCCCCUGGACAAAGACUGACGCUCAGGUGCGAGAGCGUGGGGAGCAAACAGGAUUAGAUACCCCUGUAGUC